GAUGAACGCUGGCGGCGUGCCUAAUACAUGCAAGUCGAGCGAAUGGAUUAAGAGCUUGCUCUUAUGAAGUUAGCGGCGGACGGGUGAGUAACACGUGGGUAACCUGCCCAUAAGACUGGGAUAACUCCGGGAAACCGGGGCUAAUACCGGAUAACAUUUUGAACCGCAUGGUUCGAAAUUGAAAGGCGGCUUCGGCUGUCACUUAUGGAUGGACCCGCGUCGCAUUAGCUAGUUGGUGAGGUAACGGCUCACCAAGGCAACGAUGCGUAGCCGACCUGAGCGGGUGAGCGGCCACACUGGGACUGGGCCACGGCCCAGACUCCUACGGGAGGCAGCAGUAGGGAAUCUUCCGCAAUGGACGAAAGUCUGACGGAGCAACGCCGCGUGAGUGAUGAAGGCUUUCGGGUCGUAAAACUCUGUUGUUAGGGAAGAACAAGUGCUAGUUGAACAAGCUGGCACCUUGACGGUACCUAACCAGAAAGCCACGGCUAACUACGUGCCAGCAGCCGCGGUAA
rnacentral:rRNA from 1 species